ACGGAAGGCAGCAGUAGGGAAUCUUCGGCAAUGGGGGCAACCCUGUCCGAGCAACGCCGCGUGAGUGAAGAAGGUUUUCGGAUCGUAAAGCUCUGUUGUAAGAGAAGAACGUGUGUGAGAGUGGAAAGUUUACACAGUGACGGUAACUUACCAGAAAGGGACGGCUAACUACGUGCCAGCAGCCGCGGUAAUACGUAGGUCCCGAGCGUUGUCCGGAUUUAUUGGGCGUAAAGCGAGCGCAGGCGGUUUAAUAAGUCUGAAGUUAAAGGCAGUGGCUUAACCAUUGUUCGCUUUGGAAACUGUUAGACUUGAGUGCAGAAGGGGAGAGUGGAAUUCCAUGUGUAGCGGUGAAAUGCGUAGAUAUAUGGAGGAACACCGGUGGCGAAAGCGGCUCUCUGGUCUGUAACUGACGCUGAGGCUCGAAAGCGUGGGGAGCAAACAGGAUUAGAUACCCUGGUA
rnacentral:rRNA from 1 species